GAAUAAGCUUUGAAGGAAACCAGUAGCGAACAUUUCCCUGUUUAAGAGAGCCGGUGGUUGGUGUGAACCGGUACAAAGAUGAAGCGAAUUUCGAUUCCGGAGCUUCUUUUGACGAGAUCAAAAGACGGGUAAGACCGUUAUGUGUGAAGAGUGAUGAGAAAGAUUUUCUCAUAACUAGGGUGGUACCGCGAUAUCCAAAUCGUCCCUACG
rnacentral:ncRNA from 1 species